rnacentral:rRNA from 1 species
UACGGAGGGGACUAGCGUUGUUCGGAAUUACUGGGCGUAAAGCGCACGUAGGCGGAUUUGUAAGUCAGGGGUGAAAUCCCGGGGCUCAACCUCGGAACUGCCUUUGAUACUGCAAAUCUCGAGUCCGGAAGAGGUGAGUGGAAUUCCUAGUGUAGUGGUGAAAUGCGUAGAUAUCGGGAGGAACACCAGUGGCGAAGGCGACUUCUUGGCCUGUUCUUGACGCUGAGGCGCGAAAGCUGGGGGAGCAAACGGG